UUUUUCUUUGCUCUCUCUCCUCUCUCAUUAGAGUUUCUAAAAGUUGCCCCAGACUGCUCAUAAACAUGGAGAAGGCCGGGCAGGCGGAUCCUAUGCUCGGGCUGCUGGGUUUUGGAGGAGGCAUGGACUUUGAAUCAGACAAAGCGUACAGAGAUGUAGCUCACAUCAGUACAUGUGAUGACGGCUGUUUGGCCCUUGCUGAGCUGUUGGGAUGGAAGG